GCCAGCAGCUAUAUCACACUGCAACUCACAAAUGGCAACCCACUGAAGAUAAGCAGAUAUGAGCCUGCAGUACCUGGGUGGGAGACCUCCUGGAAAAACAUAAGUUGCAGCUGGAA
rnacentral:rRNA from 1 species